rnacentral:sRNA from 1 species
UCUUGUUGCAAUACCCACAGCCUGAUAU